GAUGAACGCUGGCGGCGUGCCUAAUACAUGCAAGUCGAGCUAACAGACGAGGAACUUGCUCCUCUGACGUUAGCGGCGGACGGGUGAGUAACACGUGGAUAACCUACCUAUAAGACUGGGAUAACUUCGGGAAACCGGAGCUAAUACCGGAUAACAUGUUGAACCGCAUGGUUCAACAGUGAAAGACGGUUUUGCUGUCACUUAUAGAUGGAUCCGCGUCGCAUUAGCUAGUUGGUAAGGUAACGGCUUACCAAGGCAACGAUGCGUAGCCGACCUGAGAGGGUGAUCGGCCACACUGGAACUGAGACACGGUCCAGACUCCUACGGGAGGCAGCAGUAGGGAAUCUUCCGCAAUGGGCGAAAGCCUGACGGAGCAACGCCGCGUGAGUGAAGAAGGUCUUCGGAUCGUAAACCUCUGUUAUUAGGGAAGAACAAAUGUGUAAGAAUCUAUGCACGUCUUGACGGUACCUAAUCAGAAAGCCACGGCUAACUACGUG
rnacentral:rRNA from 1 species